rnacentral:rRNA from 1 species
CUACCUUAUGCUCAGGGAUAUGCCCGAUAGAAAUUUGGAUUAUUUCCUCAUAGUAUAUAAACUAGGCCUCUAUUUAUCUAUUAGAGAUUCAUAGGCAUAACAUGAGCAUGCGUCCCACUAGGUACUCCGGUAUGGUAACGGCAUACCAUGGCUACGAUGGGUCGGGGUUCUGAUAGGGAGAUGCACCCCACACUGGUACUGAGACACGGAUCCAGACUCCUACUCGUAGGCAGAGGUGAGGAAUAUUGAGACAAUGGUCGCAAGACUGAUCCAGACAUGCCGCUGUGCAGGAGAGACUGCCCUAUGGGUUGUAAACUGCUUUUGUAUGAGAAGAAAAGAAGGUGCGUGUGCCUUGAUGACGGUAUCAUGACGAAUACCCCAUCGAGCUAACUCCGUGCCAGCAGCCGCGGUAAUACGGAGGAUGCCAGCGUUAUCCGGAAUCAUUGGGUUUAAAGGGUCCGUAAAGCGGGCUAUUGAGUCAGGGGUGAAAGUAUGCCACUCCACGGUAAAAUUGCCUUUGAUACUGAUAGUCUUGAAUGUGUGUGAAGUGAUUAGAAUAUGGUAGUGAAUUCGGUGAAAUGCAUAUGAUAUUACAUAGAAAUACCGGAUUGAAUAACGCAGGUCAACUAGA